rnacentral:misc_RNA from 1 species
UCAAGGAUUUCGCCGGAUUGAAGACGCUCAUGUCUUCUUCUAGUGAUACCUUGCAUCUCGCGCCGUCUCCGCAUCCCUUCCUCGAAUGAUACACCAACCCAAGUUGGGGCCGAAUUGGGGCUCGUAGCUCAGCUGGUUAGAGCACACGCUUGAUAAGCGUGGGGUCGUAAGUUCAAAUCUUACCGGGCCCACCAGCUUUUCCCCGCGCCGUUCGGUCCUGGGGAUUGCUGGUAGAGAUCGGGGCCGUAGCUCAGUUGGGAGAGCGCUAGCUUUGCAAGCUUGAGGUCGUCGGUUCGAUCCCGUCCGGCUCCACCAAUUUGUGGUUUGGUACCUCAGGCGCAGCGCGCCGAGUUGAUCAUUCGAGGAUCUUCGAGAUUUGCCGCCGAGCGAUCGGCGGCAAUUGCCGCCUUUGGCGGUCCAUCGUUCUUUGACAUUGUGAAUUAGGUUUUUCCGAUCUUGAUACGAGUGGUCUCGGAGGAGGCUUCUGGCCUUGCCGGUGACCACGUCGUGGGUAAAGAAGUGUGUCAUGCGUUGGGUUUUUCCCUGCGUAUGAUGUGAUCAAGCGUCUUAAGGGCAUUUCGUGGAUGCCUUGGCACUGAGAGGCGAUGAAGGACGUAGCACGCUGCGAUAAGCUACGGGGAGCCGCGAGCAGGCUUUGAUCCGUAGAUUU